AUUGAACGCUGGCGGCAGGCCUAACACAUGCAAGUAGAGCGAGAGGCGGACGGGUGAGUAAGGUAGGGGGACUGCCCGAUAGAGGGGGAUAACUGCUGGAAACGGUGGAAAAUACCGCAUACAGUCGGAUAACCAAUAUGGGAUUAGCUAGUAGGUAAGGUAAUGGCUGACCUAGGCGACGAUCCCUAGCUGGUCUGGGAGGAUGAUCAGCCACACUGGGACUGAGACACGGCCCAGACUCCUACGGAGGCAGCAGUGGUGAAUAUUGCACAAUGGGCGCAAGCCUGAUGCAGCCAUGCCGCGUGUAUGAAGAAGGCCCUAGGGUUGUAAAGUACUUUCAGUCGGGAGGCGUUACCGACAGAAGAAGCACCGGCUAACUCCGUGCCAGCAGCCGCGGUAAUUC
rnacentral:rRNA from 1 species